rnacentral:rRNA from 1 species
CAGCCGCGGUAAAACGGAGGGGGCUAGCGUUGUUCGGAAUUACUGGGCGUAAAGCGCACGUAGGCGGCUUGGUAAGUUAGAGGUGAAAGCCCGGAGCUCAACUCCGGAAUUGCCUUUAAGACUGCCGAGCUAGUAGGUGAGAGAGGUAAGUGGAAUUCCGAGUGUAGAGGUGAAAUUCGUAGAUAUUCGGAAGAACACCAGUGGCGAAGGCGGCUUACUGGCUCAUUCUAGACGCUGAGGUGCGAAAGCGUGGGGAGCAAACAGGAUUAGAUACCCCCGUAGUCCCUGUCUCUUAUACACA